rnacentral:rRNA from 1 species
UACGUAGGGUGCGAGCGUUGUCCGGAAUUAUUGGGCGUAAAGGGCUCGUAGGCGGUUUGUCGCGUCGGGAGUGAAAACACUGGGCUUAACCGAGUGCUUGCUUUCGAUACGGGCAGACUUGAGGCAUUCAGGGGAGAACGGAAUUCCUGGUGUAGCGGUGAAAUGCGCAGAUAUCGGGAGGAACACCAGCGGCGAAGGCGGCACUCUGGGCUGGAACUGACGCUGAGGAGCGAAAGCGUGGGUAGCAAACAGG